rnacentral:rRNA from 1 species
UACGGAGGGUGCGAGCGUUGUCCGGAAUCACUGGGCGUAAAGGGCGCGUAGGUGGCUUGUUAAGCGUGUGGUGAAAGCCUGGGGCUCAACCCCAGGUCUGCCGUGCGAACGUGGCAAGCUUGAGCGUAGUAGAGGCAGGUGGAAUUUCGGGCGUAGCGGUGGAAUGCGUAGAUAUCAGGAGGAAUACCGAUGGCGAAGGCAGGUCUCUGGGCUGACACUG